AUUUGGUGUUGAGGACACUUGAUACACAACUUCUUGAAUCACUCCUAGUAAUCAUAAAGCGACUCUCUUGGAUGCUGUUUGAUACGGCAUAUCUCCUUCCUUAGAUU